UCAAAGGUAACAUCUGCGGGAUUUGCUCUCGUAUCGGCGAGAAGACCUCAGUCGAGAGCCAUUCCACCGAUUGCUUUUGUACUGUGCGAAGAAUACCCUAAGCGAAGACCUUAGGGUUUCUCCUACCAAAACUUCUCUGGUUGCUGUCAGUUGCAUCUGUCUGCUGCUCAGUUGAGAGCCUUCCUCUAUUGCUAUUUGAAACCCUUCAUUGGGUAUUCGCGACGGGUCUCAGCAAGACUGAAAUCGAUUUGAUAAGAUUGUUGGAAGCUGCUCCUAGACAACAGAAUCAAACAAAGCUCGUACAUGCAAAGUAUUUGGUCCAGCCUGGUGAGAACAGAAAGCUUCAAGAAGAUUUGACAGACGAUAUGGUUGGCUUAGCACGACAGCUGAAGGAAAGCAGUCUCUUAAUGGUCCAAUCUUUGCAAGACACGGAGAAGAGCUUUCUACAGUGGAUAACCCCUGAAGUCGAAAUCGGUCCGUACUGGAAUAUCGAUCUGCAUGUUAGGUAAAUACCGGUCGAUACAGUGAAAUUGAAUUGGUUGCUACCUAUAUAAUUUGAUACACUGUUUUCUUACCAUUAAAAUUUUCUUAUUUUUAUAACAUAAUUUGAUGGCAUGACAUUUAUUGUCAUUUCCAAAUGGUAACGCUUUCUGUGACCUUGGCAUCUGCAUCUUUGUCAGCAAUUCCUUUUUGUCUAAAUUUCGUAUGA